UACGAAGGGGGCUAGCGUUGCUCGGAAUCACUGGGCGUACAGGGUGCGUAGGCGGGUCUUUUAAGUCAGGGGUGAAAUCCUGGAGCUCAACUCCAGAACUGCCUUUGAUACUGAAGAUCUUGAGUUCGGGAGAGGUGAGUGGAACUGCGAGUGUAGAGGUGAAAUUCGUAGAUAUUCGCAAGAACACCAGUGGCGAAGGCGGCUCACUGGCCCGAUACUGACGCUGAGGCACGAAAGCGUGGGGAGCAAACAGG
rnacentral:rRNA from 1 species